rnacentral:tRNA from 1 species
GGGAAUAUAGCUCAGUGGUAGAGCACUUGCCUAACAUGCAUAGAGUCCUGAGUUCAGUCCCCAGUACUGCUG